UAAACCCAGAGACGCCUACCCUUCGCCGUCUCCGCAUCCACUCCUCCAUCUCUCAGUCGGGCUCGCAAGCGAAGUCUCCCUCACUCUCUCUCUCUCUCGCUGCGAGGUUAGAUUUCUUUUCACUUUCUCUGAUAGUUUAUAUUGGUUUUCCGUUGUGAUUUUGUAUCUCCAGUAUCCAGUAAUUUUCCGCUGUGAUUUUGAAUCGUCAGUGUUUUGGGGCCUCCUUAUGUAUGAUUAUAGAAUUGUUUAUUUCUUCAUCUGAUUUGGCUAUGUUUGCGGGAUUCUUUAAAUAGAAGCAAUUUAUACACUACACCAUUAGCUCAAUAUCCAACAUGCAGAUAAAUUUUAAAUAGGGUGCAAAUAGUUUAAUUAACUUUGUACUUCGAUUAAUUGUUUAUUGUUCACUAACUAUCGGUAAUUCAGUUAUCAGAUGAAAUAGGCGGUUACUUUUGUUGACAUGUUUGAGUCUGUCAAUGUCGUGGUGUAUGUCUAGGUCAGACUUUAGAGUAUAUAAUGCCUGAAUGACUGUUGUAAAGAGCAUGCCUAUGGUAAAUUGUAUCAAGACGUCUGAUCUUUUGCUUUGCAUGUAGCCGUAUUGUUUGUGUCAAUAGUUCGGAGCCAUUUGGUUUGUAUUUGACUAAAUGCUUAUGAUAAUGUCAUGUAUUCCAUUUAUUAGUAGUUCGAGAUGCUGAAUUUGAUACAAUCUGCAGAUUUACCAUGGGUAAAGAGAAGACUCACAUCAACAUUGUGGUCAUUGGCCAUGUCGACUCUGGAAAGUCGACCACCACCGGUCACUUGAUCUACAAACUUGGUGGUAUUGACAAGCGUGUCAUUGAGAGGUUCGAGAAAGAAGCUGC
rnacentral:lncRNA from 1 species